UACAGUAAAUGCGCAAAACAACCACCGGGGACUAAUCUAUGUGGAUACUACGUUUGCGAGUACAUCCACAGAAUUGUCAGCGAGAGAGCGAAUAAUGAAAGAAAUAGAGAGUUGAGAAGAAAGCGGGAGAAGAUCGGAAUCGAGGAGCGCUUCAAAGCAAUCGGCGAUGAAUUGGCGGGAUUUUUCCUUCGGGAAGUCAUACCACCAUCCGGAGAGUACCACUAUGCAUAAAGAUCUUCUCCAGCUCCUCGAUUGCUUUGUGUGUAUAUAUAGUUUGACUCGGAGUGUACCACUAUGGUACAUGUGUGUAAUAGAUCGAUCUUCAUGCUUGUACUAUGGUGCAUCGACUUGAUUUGCAUCGGAGAGUACUACUUAUGCAAUUACAUGUGUGUUAUAUUAUAUGCACCAACUUUAUAUGCA